GGGGAUGUCCCGGUUUCGACAGGAUAUAUUGGACUCAUGACUGCAGUGGUUUGGUAGACCUUAAUACUUCUAGGUUUGAUAAAAUGCAAACGAUAAAAAAAAUGAAUUUGAAAUGCCAGCAUUUAUGAUCAAUAAUGCAUCAGCUGGAGUUGCAUUAGCAGCUUAAUAAACUUUUAAGUUUAUAGCACUCAACGCUACAUGGUGUUUUUGUACUUCAUCAAGAUAGUGUAUUACCUAGUACAAUAGAAUAAGUGACUUUAAUGAUAAACUUGUUUGAAUUUAAAUCAUUAACACUAUAAAAUUAAAUUUUGUUAACUCUGUUGUUUUAUAGUGUAAUUUAGAGUUAAAUAAACUGUAGGCGUUAUGGGUUGGAGUAUUUUGGACGCGGGUUCGAUUCCCGCCAUCUCCACCA
rnacentral:tmRNA from 1 species